rnacentral:rRNA from 1 species
ACUCCUACGGGAGGCAGCAGUGGGGAAUAUUGCACAAUGGGCGCAAGCCUGAUGCAGCCAUGCCGCGUGUAUGAAGAAGGCCUUCGGGUUGUAAAGUACUUUCAGCAGUGAGGAAGGUGGGUAUGUUAAUAGCAUAUUCAUUUGACGUUAGCUGCAGAAGAAGCACCGGCUAACUCCGUGCCAGCAGCCGCGGUAAUACGGAGGGUGCGAGCGUUAAUCGGAAUUACUGGGCGUAAAGCGCAUGCAGGUGGUUUGUUAAGUCAGAUGUGAAAGCCCGGGGCUCAACCUCGGAAUUGCAUUUGAAACUGGCAAACUAGAGUACUGUAGAGGGGGGUAGAAUUUCAGGUGUAGCGGUGAAAUGCGUAGAGAUCUGAAGGAAUACCGGUGGCGAAGGCGGCCCCCUGGACAGAUACUGACACUCAGAUGCGAAAGCUGGGGGGAGCAAACGAGGAUUAGACUACCCGUGGUAGGCUCGUGAC